CGUGAGUCCCAAUAAACUCAUCUACUCAUCAAGCUGGACUGGUCUGAGUCAUUCUUUGGUCUGUUGGCUCCUUUCCCAGUUUGGGGCGGAGGAUGUUCUAUACAGUCCUGGAUUUUUCCCCAACCAGGAAGAGAACUCCUUGUCCUGCAGUGUUCCUCUUGCGCCCUCUCCUGACAAAGCUUAACUUCGGAGCUGGAGCAAGUCGUAUCCGGCAUUGCAGGGAAGAGUGAAUUUGGCCUGUGAUCCAAUCAGAAGCUGCGAUUCUAAACAGGAAGCCACACUGGAUGCGAGAAUUGGGGUGGGGCGCGCCAAGAGGAGCAAGCAUUAUAGAACGUGGGGAGCAUGAGAAAUACACGGAGGUGGAAACGCCGGAGUGGCUGGCGGGUAAAGGCAGCGGGCGCAGAUGAAGCGGGCUGGGCGUCCCACGCGCAGAACCGUCCCGGACAGAAGCCGCAGGGCUGCGCUGGCUGGAAAAAGGAACGCGAGUACAGCGCGCGUGGCGCGGGGUCUGCUCCAGGACGGAAUCUUUUGGGUGGCCCGCAUGAGGGGUUUGCAGGACCCCGGGCCUUUGGGAAGUUAUCUGCUAAACUCCAGUAGACCCUGAGGAGCAGCGGCUCAUGAAUCUUCUUAAACUUCUGUCAUCAGCGGCUGGGCCAGCUGAAGGUGACCAUGGCACACGAGGGAGAGAGAAGCCCGCGAGAGGCGGAGAAAUGUGGGGUCGUCCAGGAGGGUCGACAAGGCAAAGAACCUGAAGACGACCCAAAAGGAGUUGAACUUCCUCUCUUUUUAGAAGAAUGGAUUUCUCGGAGUCUGAAAAAUUUAUGGUUCUUCUCUGGAAGAAUUUUAUUUUAAAGGUUGAACCUGCACCAGUCAUCCAAAGCAGUGACCCAACGCUUAUCUUUAUCUUUUUGCUGUUUUAUGCCAUCGCCACAAUAUGCUUCAGCUUUAUGGUUAGCACUUUCUUCAGUAGAG
rnacentral:lncRNA from 1 species